GGGGGCGAUACGGAUUCGACGACGGUAACAAACCCUGCGGUGCAUGCCGUGAUGACAGCCAAUCACGUAAAUCCAAAGCUGUAACUUAAUAGUUGCCAACGACGACAACUACGCUCUAGCGGCUUAAACCCCGUUAGCGGUCUAUAGCAAGGUUCCAGCCCCGCGCUUGUGACUGUCAUAUAGAACUGGAUCGCAGUUAGGCAUGUCUUGGGCUUAACCGUUAAAAAAACUAAAGGCUCGCUGCUUUCGUCCUGCCCGCUGGGCUGAAAGGAGCUAAAUUAAUAAACGGGGUCUAAGCAUGUAGAGCCAAAGGCAGCGUGCUGGCGGACGCGGGUUCAACUCCCGCCGCCUCCACCA
rnacentral:tmRNA from 1 species